UUCUGGGUAGCAUGUGAGAGAACAGACCCUGCCCUCAGGAGGCCCUUGUGUGCCUGAGUCAAUAGAUAAAUAAAUGGCCACAGGGGGCUGUGCCUUGGUCUCCCUGUGGGGCUGGAUGGAGCAGCUUUCCUAGAGGCAUUUGGCCAUCUUGGUUCCCUGAAGACAGCCCUGGCUUCAGCACUGAAAGUCUAGCUCCGGGCCACCCCUCAGUCCUGGGCAACCUGGGAGGAUCGGCCCCUGCGGAGGAGUGAGUCUGUCUGGGAAGAUGAGCAGGAAUUUGCCAGCCAAGCAGAGAAGUGGUGCCUCAGGUCAGAUUGGCAGCGGCAGAGCCCAGGGCGGAGAUGCUUGUGCACGGGGUCUCUCACGGGAGGGGGCGACCCCUGUGAGUGAUGUUCGAGGCGUGCCGGCAGAGAGGCUGGAGCAGGACGGGGAAGCCGGAGAGGAGACCGGACGCUAAGCCAGGACCGGUCUGCUCCUCUCCCGCCUCGAGCCCACGGAGGGGCCUCUGUCCCCGCCCCUCGCCCCACCUGUCCGUCGCUGGCUUCCCUGGCGGUCUGGGCGCGUGCUUCCCGGCGAGGCGGCGCAGGAACGGGCGUGCCGUGCUGGGAGAAGGCGGCAGCUGUCAGAGGGAGGUUCCCGCAGGCUUUCCUGUUCAAAUUCUCUGGCUUCACCCUGUGUCCAGGAAUCGGGACCUGGUGCCGAGGAGGCUCUGGCUGUGUAGACCCCUCCCGUGAGGGGUGCAGGAGAGGAAGGUGAGGCAGAGGGCCCUGGAAAGGGACUUGCUCAGCGUUCUAGAGGGAGGAUGGCCGGGCAGCCAAGAGCUAGGACCUGGAAAGGCAGACCCCCUGGGUGGGAAUCUCAGCUCUGCCACUCACUCUGCGUGACCCGCAUGGGGUGUUACCGUGCCUGUGUGUGCCUCUGUUUCCUCCACUGUAAAAUGAAGCUAUACCUUCCUUUUAGAGUAUUUUUGAAAAGAUUCCAUUUUUAAAUAAUGUCACACUUUCAGAAAAGUUGCAUGCAAAAAAUAAAAGCAAAAAAGUAUAAAGAAUGUCUGUACCCCUUCUCCCAGAUUCCCCAAAUCUUAACAUUUUCCCAUGACUGCAUCCUCCUCUCUCUCCACAUAUAUCCAUGUUGUUAUUUUCUUUCUAGACUUAUUCCAGAAAGUAGCGGCCAUGCUGCUCAUUUACCUCUCAAUGCGUCGUGGGUGUUACCUAAAAAUAAAGUAUUCACUGAUGUAACCUCAGGACAGUAACCAAAAUCAGGACAUUAACAUUGCUACAGUGCUCUUGUCUAAUUUAUAGACCUGAUUCAAAAAUUGCCAAUUUAAAAAUGGAAUCUUAGAUAUUUGUCCCCACUCGCCAAGCUCAUGUUGAAAUUUUAUCUCAAUGUUGGUACCAGCCCUAAUGGGAGGAAUUUGGGUCAUGGGGGUGGAUCCCUCAUGAAGAAAUUAAUACUCUUCUUUGGGGGUUAGCAGCCAUUUCUUUCAACUUAAAUGCCUUUAGCUCCUUUUUUUCCUUGCUUCCUCUCUCACCACAUGAUCUCUGCACAUGCGGCUCCCCUCCACCUUCUCCAUGAAUGGAAGCAGCCUGAGGCCUUUACCAGAUGCCCAAUCUUUAACUUUUCCAGAUGUCGGAAUCAUGGGCCAAAUAAACCUUAUUUCUUUAUAAAUCA